rnacentral:rRNA from 1 species
CAUGUCCUUUAGAUUUUAAUUUAAGGUUUAAUCUGCUCAAUGAAGUUUUAAAUUGCCGCAGUAUUUUAACUGUGCGAAGGUAGCAUAAUAAUUAGUUUCUUAAUUGGAAGCUGGAAUGAAUGAUUGGACGAGAAAAUUACUGUCUCUUGGGGAGGGUUUAUUGAAUUUUAUUGUUAAGUAAAAAAGCUUAAAUUUGAAUAAAAGACGAGAAGACCCUAUAGAGUUUGAUAAUUAAAAUUUAUUAAUUUUUGGUAAAUUUCUUGAGUUUUAAUUAUUUAGUUGGGGUGACUUAAAGAUUAAACUAAUUCUUUAAAUAUUUAAUUAUUGAUAAGUAAUUUUUAAAUCUAGUUUUUUAAAUUUAAAAUUAAUUACCUUAGGGAUAACAGCGUAAUUUUUCUUUAAAGCUCUAAUUGAAAGAAGAUUUUGCGACCUCGAUGUUGGAUUAAAAUUAAUUUUUGGUGCAGUAACUAAAAAAUUAGGUCUGUUCGACCUUUAAAAUUUUACAUGAUCUGAGUUUAAACCGGUGUAAGCCAGGUUGGAUUCUAUCUUUAUUUUUGUUAUAUAUUUUAGUACGAAAGGACCAAAUAUAUAUUAUAAUAUAAUUG